UAAGGAGACAAGUAGAGAAUGAAGUCCAAGACAAAAUGGAAGACCAGAUCACAUAAGACAUGGUAAUACUUUCAAUUUUAUCUUAUCGAUUAACUGUCAAAAGAGACAGAAAGAGCACAUUCCUACUGAGAUGAAGCGUAUCAUUGUCCGUGAUGGAUCACAUAUCAUACUGCAGAGAGCUGCUCUGAAAUGCCAAUAUUGGAAGACAGGAUGACAUCCACAUUUUCUAUUAUAAGAUGAUAAGAACUAAAUCUCGGUAUGUACCAAUACAGAAUGAAUCACCUUCCACUGAACCCUGGAGGGUAAAAAGCAAAAGGUCUUUUUGUUUUCCUAAAAAGAAACCAAGAAGUUGAAACCUGUUUAAUGUUUUCACUACUUCCAACUGAAUUUCUUUUACAUUUUUGAGCUUCGAUACAAAAAAAAUGUAUAAACUCUGGAACUUUAAAACAAAGAGCCUCAUGUGGUCAAGCUCCCAUUCAAGCUGACUUCACAACUAUGAGUUUCAAUUGGU